UGGAAGUUUCCACAGAAGCCUUCCCAGGGC
rnacentral:piRNA from 1 species